rnacentral:lncRNA from 1 species
UCUAGCUACAAGACAAGACUAGUUUUAGGCCCUACCUGAUGACAACUGUACUGUCUAUCACUCGUGUGUGUCUCGUCGACGAGAAGGCGACGUGCACGUGUGGUUGCUCCACUCUGUGCGAGUGCAACGCAAAUUUCUCCAAUGCGAGAAGAACUCGCACCAUCUUCUCUUAAUGUAGAGAUCAUCCUUCUUUUUUUUUUUUUUUUUUUUUUUUUUGUCAUCAACAAUUCAGACUCAUACAGACUCUGUAAACCAAACAGAGUCUGUAGAGAUCAU